UGGGGAAUAUUGGACAAUGGGCGAAAGCCUGAUCCAGCAAUGCCGCGUGUGUGAAGAAGGCCUGCGGGUUGUAAAGCACUUUCGGCAGGGAAGAAAUGCUUGAGACUAAUACUCUCAAGUUUUGACGUCACCUGCAGAAGAAGCACCGGCUAACUCCGUGCCAGCAGCCGCGGUAAUACGGAGGGUGCUAGCGUUAAUCGGAAUUACUGGGCGUAAAGCGCGCGUAGGCGGUUUGGCAAGUCGGAUGUGAAAGCCCUGGGCUUAACCUGGGAAUUGCAUUCGAGACUGCCUGGCUAGAGUUUGGUAGAGGAAAGCGGAAUUCCGGGUGUAGCGGUGAAAUGCGUAGAUAUCCGGAGGAACAUCAGUGGCGAAGGCGGCUUUCUGGACCAUAACUGACGCUGAGGUGCGAAAGCGUGGGGAGCAAACAGG
rnacentral:rRNA from 1 species